CGGAGUGGCGGACGGGUGAGGAAUACAUCGGAAUCUACUCUGUCGUGGGGGAUAACGUAGGGAAACUUACGCUAAUACCGCAUACGACCUACGGGUGAAAGCAGGGGAUCUUCGGACCUUGCGCGAUUGAAUGAGCCGAUGUCGGAUUAGCUAGUCGGCGGGGUAAAGGCCCACCAAGGCGACGAUCCGUAGCUGGUCUGAGAGGAUGAUCAGCCACACUGGAACUGAGACACGGUCCAGACUCCUACGGGAGGCAGCAGGU
rnacentral:rRNA from 1 species